rnacentral:miRNA from 1 species
UGAUCUGUGGUUGGUUGAAUCUGUGGACAUGGAACCUGUGGAUGCAGAGGGCCAAUUGUAUUU